GUAGGGAAUAUUGGGCAAUGGUCGGAAGACUGACCCAGCCAUGCCGCGUGCAGGAAGACGGCCCUCUGGGUUGUAAACUGCUUUUAUCUGGGAAGAAAAAGGCCAUGCGUGGCAAAUUGCCGGUACCAGAUGAAUAAGCACCGGCUAACUCCGUGCCAGCAGCCGCGGUAAUACGGGGGGUGCGAGCGUUGUCCGGAUUUAUUGGGUUUAAAGGGUGCGUAGGCGGCUGAUUAAGUCAGCGGUGAAAGACUUCGGCUUAACCGGAGCAGUGCCGUUGAUACUGGUUGGCUUGAGUGUCGGAGGGGUACAUGGAAUUGAUGGUGUAGCGGUGAAAUGCAUAGAUACCAUCAGGAACACCGAUAGCGAAGGCAUUGUACUGGCCGACAACUGACGCUGAUGCACGAAAGUGUGGGGAUCGAACAGGAUUAGAUACCCGGGUAGUCC
rnacentral:rRNA from 1 species